rnacentral:lncRNA from 1 species
UUAAGAAAACCAUGUUAGAUGCUCAAAAUGAUAAGAUUUAGAAUGAGAAACUUCUUGGUUUGGUUGUGAAAAUUGUCACAUUUGGCAAAUAUAGGUUAAUACUCUAAAGGCCAAAUUGAGCAAGGCUUUAGAACCAAAAGUUACUUUCGCUGUUGAUCCAACAAAAUUCAAAAGACCUUUAUAUGAACCAUACAUAAAGUAUAAUUUUUUUAUAAAAUAAUCUAAUAGAGAAAUUCAUUCUCAUCGUCACUUGACUUGUCAUUGUUGUUGUAA